rnacentral:misc_RNA from 1 species
CGGAGUUCAGUCUUCCCAGGCCCACCACGCUUCGCCGUCGGCUUCGCAUGGCACCGCCAGGCAGAACGACGAGGCGAAGCGCGUCCGGCAUAGCCCGAAGGGCGACGCCGGACAGAAAGAGCGCUUCGUCUUCUGGUUACGGGGCCAUAGCUCAGCUGGGAGAGCGCGUGCUUUGCAAGCAUGAGGUCGUCGGUUCGAUCCCGUCUGGCUCCACCAGAUGGUUUGAUCACCGAGAUCUUGACCGUCGUCCGCGAAACAUCACUUCGCAUCCUGCUAGUCUGGAUAGACAGCAAGUUGCGUGUUUUCUGACAUCGUAAAGAGGAGAUCGAUCCGAGUUGGAUCGUGCAACAUAUCGUUGCGCGAGCCUUCAUUAUCUCCGGAUCAUUUCGGCGCUCGCUUCCAGCCGUGAGGUUGGAUGCGGGUUGUAAAUGAUCCUUUUAGCGAAGCUUGACCGCCUCGCUAUCGGAACGAUCUUACGAAGCAAGCUGGUCUUUCUAGUCAAUGUCCGGCUGUACGUAGCAUUCAUCGAGGGUGCGCGCCCGAGAUUUCGGUCUCUUGGCAAUCGUACAGACAACAUUCUGCCGAGUGUGUGGACAUUGAUAAUGAGAGCAAUCAAGUGCCUUAAGGGUGUUCGGUGGAUGCCUUGGCGCUGAGAGGCGAUGAAGGACGUGCUACGCUGCGAUAAGCCGUGGGGAGCUGCGAAGAAGCUUUGAUCCGCGGAUUUCCGAUGGGAAAA